rnacentral:tRNA from 1 species
GGAGGAGUACCCAAGUGGCUUAAGGGGACGGACUGUAAAUCCGUUAGCGGUGCUUUCACUGGUUCAAAUCCAGUCUCCUCCACCA